AUUUAUAUUAUCUGCUGCAAAAUAAAUAGAAUGGCGCGAUCUAUUGCAGAUUUGCCGGAAUUAUUAGAAAAAGAAUUUGAUCAAUGGUUACAACAAAGUAGAAGUGAAGACAUAUUUUUAAUCGAAUCUAAUAACAAAGAUAAAGAAGGAAUUUUUUUAGAAUUUCUUCUUGCUAGUGAAUAUGAAAUACAACUCUGGGUACCAACAGGAAAGAUAAUCCAGAACACUUCAUGAAAUUCUGAUGUUAAGAAAGCCUAUGACUUAUACAUUCCUGCAUGACAAAUAAAAGUUGGUAUGAAGAAAUAAAAAGAAAUCAUAGAGCAAGGAGCUCAAUCAAUAAAGCACUCAAAAUAUUGAAAAAUAUAUUGCAUAUCUUCUGCAACAGGUCUAUUGUGAAGAUGAAUUUCAUUGAAAAUGCAUUUUCUCUUUCCCAUAGUAAGUAAAUUAAGGAAUGCAAAAUCGAAAAAAAAAGGUACAUCAAACACAUAAUGAGAAUUACUAAUUACUAAUCACUAAAUACACAAGCAGCAGAAAGCUGGGUAUGUAUUCAUUAGUAAGCGAGAUAAGCACAGACAACUUAUACAACUGAAAGAUACCCCUGACCAGAAUUUCCAAUGUAUGUUAAUGAAAUUGCCCAUCAAGAUUUCAAAAAUUAUCCAAUUUUACUUGAAAAUACCCCCCG
rnacentral:lncRNA from 1 species